UUGUGACUGACAACUAUUUUUGAAGAAUCUGUCCAUUGUUCUCUGUAUAUUUUAUGCAAUGUUCAUGUAUAUUCAUCCACUCAGCAUUAUGGAGUUUUUUUAUUCUCUAUUUUUAAAUUUUUACAUUUCUGAUCUGACCAUAAUGUAACACAGUUUUGCUUGAGAUGAAAAUAGACAUGAUUCAAUAUGUAAAAUGAUAAAUAUUAUGAUAUUACAGAUUGCAAUGGAGGGUCUAAUUAAGCUUGUGUAUAGGUUAUGUCCUUUACUAGGCCUCCCUCUGACGGCCGCUGUAGAGGGCUGUUUUUAUAUAUAACUCAGAAACACUGUGAUAGCCUGUUGUUAAAUAUCAUUAUAUCUCAUUUGUUAUGAUACAAUAAAUACAUCAAACGUG
rnacentral:misc_RNA from 1 species